AGAACUAUAAUCAUUAAAACCAGAAUUUCAGGUAAACCUUUACCAUAUAAACGAGGAGUUACCAAAUGAAUGAUUACAAUAACAUAUAUCGUGGUUUCAUUAACCACAAUUACACGGGAUUUUUUAAUGCCAAAUAUGCUAUAACCAUACUGUAAGGUAAUUUACCAAAAUUUUCAUCUAAAUGCAGUAUAAUUUUAAGUGGAAAAAGAAGAGAUAAAACACAAAAAUCGGUUUGAUUUGACAAUUUCUGUCUUUGCUAAAGUAUUAGGCUGAUCGGAAAGUUAUAUUGUUUCGGUGCAUUUACUAAUGUGGGAAGCGUAUUCCAUACGUCAUGCACACGUACAUAGAUCAUUGCGCACCUUCCCCACGCAUAUCAUGGCGCACACCCUUCCCUCCACACACACAUUGUAUGUGAUGGUAGCCGACGAGGCAGGCGGCCUCUUCUAAUAAGUUAAGUGUCUUGUAUUUUGUGUAUUGUCCAGUGUUAUGUCCUAUAUGUGAAUAAAUGUUACUUAACGUAGUUCUGAUGCUCCUUGCCUUCCCCCAUAUUUUGGGGGCACGGCCUUCCCUCUUGCAAUCCUAAGACAACAAUACCCCUAGAUACCUGAAGCUGUCGAAAAAUAAAAUGCACCAAAGACGUUCUACAUUUUAUUUUGAUGAAUUGCAUUAAGACGUUAACAAACAGACGUGUUGUGUUAAAGGCAAUAAAUGAAGUUCUUCUACUGGACGAUAUGUUACAAUAUUUUUUUUUGACGGACGGACUGCACCCAAUACCAAGAGAAUAUUUACAGUUGCAGAUUAAUGUUUCAUUGAAAUGUGAAAAAGCUGUUACUGAUAUUUGUUUAACUAUCGGUAAUGUAUGAAAUUUUUUCUUAUAUUCUAAUAUUUCAGAAGAUUGUAAUGUAAACAGAAAAUUGUAAUACUGUGUUAUGAAAAUGUUUCAUAAUUGUUUUGCUAAAAUUUUUCAGAUUAAUUUUCUAACUAUUUGAUUGUAUUGUAAAAUAUUAGUUAGCUUAAUUUUCAGAUUUUUUUUUAAUUGUUUUGGUAGAUAGUUUUCAGAUUUAAUUUUAUUGCUUGUAACACCAGGCGAGGUCGCCUUCCUGGUCAUGAUGGCCGAUGUGGGAAGCGUAUUCCAUACGUCAUGCACACGUACAUAGAUCAUUGCGCACCUUCCCCACGCAUAUCAUGGCGCACACCCUUCCCUCCACACACACAUUGUAUGUGAUGGUAGCCGACGAGGCAGACGGCCUCUUCUAAUAAGUUAAGUGUCUUGUAUUUUGUGUAUUGUCCAGUGUUAUGUCCUAUAUGUGAAUAAAUGUUACUUAACGUA